rnacentral:lncRNA from 1 species
GCAGAAACAGUCUCCCUUGCUGUAAUCGGGCCCAAUGCCAAUACUUCAGAGACCUUUGUCGGAAAUUAUCAUGGCCUUCCUUGCAAGAACAUUACAAUUUUCCAAGCACUUGGGAGCUACACCAAAAAUGCAGUUUAUAGUCAGGGGUGUGAUGGUGUAAACUGUACUUCACCUGCAACUGUCGAAGCAUUUGGUGUUGCACAAGAGGCAGAUUAUGUUGUUUUAGUUAUGGGAUUGGACCAAUCCCAGGAAAGAGAGGAGCUUGAUCGAACAGAGCUUGUGCUCCCUGGGCAGCAGGAAAUUCUCAUAAAGAACAUUACACUACAUGCUAAGAAUCCAGUAAUACUAGUGUUACUUUCUGGUGGUCCAGUUGAUAUUUCCUUUGCCAGAGAUGAUCCAAGAAUUGGAAGCAUCUUAUGGGCAGGUUAUCCUGGAGAAGCUGGAGGUAUUGCUUUAGCACAAAUCAUUUUUGGCGACCACAAUCCAGGUAAUGCUUAAGACAACAGUGGUGCCUCUGUAACAAAAAUUCCUACUUGGAUAUAAUUACAUUACAUCACAUACUUUAUUGCGUCAACGAUAAGGGGACAAAUCCAAAAAUUUGACAGAUUUCUAAUUUACAAUGCAGGAGGUAGAUUACCAGUAACUUGGUAUCCAGAAGAUUUUAUUAAAGUUCCAAUGACAGACAUGAGGAUGCGAUCUGAACCUUCAACAGGCUAUCCAGGACGCACCUACAGAUUUUACACCGGCCCAAAAGUGUAUGAAUUUGGCGACGGCCUUAGCUACUCCAAUUACACUCACGAAUUUGUUCAUGUCACCCCAGAUAAGAUCUACAUAAACAAGUUAUUACGACCUGCUAAGGCCAUCAAAAGAUCAGCCACCGAUCGUUAUGCAUUAGUUUCUGAACUGGGAAAAGAAUUAUGUGAGAGCAAAAAGUUCUCAACUAAAAUAGCAGUUGAAAAUCAUGGAAAUUUACCUGGCAAGCAUCCAGUACUAUUAUUUGUCAAACAGGCCAACCUCACAAUUGGGAGCCCUCAGAAGCAGCUGAUAGCAUUCCGAAGUGUGAGAUUAGAGGCAGGAGAAAGAGCUCACAUUGACUUUGUUCUGAACCCUUGUCAGCACCUAAGCAGAGCUAACAAAGAUGGUUUAUUGGUGAUUGAAGAAGGAUAUUACCACCUGAUUCUGGAAGAUAAGGAGUAUCCCAUUAAUGUGGUAUUGUGACAGUUGGAAUUCUAUGCCAAAUUGCUGCUGAGAAUAAGGUGCAUUGACAUAGAUUACCGAAAAUCUGCUGCCAAUAAUGGUUUGAGCAAUUCUCCUGUCUAGAUGGCAGUUGCACAUGUGCAUUAAUU